GAGUAGCUAUUAAGGCUGCUAGACAAAAGCAUGCGGUAUGACGAAGGUGACAAAUUUGUCCUAUAUUUGCGCAAAAAAAUCGCUCUCUGGAUGAUGAUGGAAAUUGAGUGGUUCGGACUGUUUCUGUAACACCAUAAUUUUCAACUUUUGCAAAUUAAUAAAAUUUGUUAAAAUUUGCUAGAAUUUAAUUGCUUGUGUUUAAGGAUUUAAGGUUUACUAAGGUUGCAUUUAAUUUAUUAGGCAUUUAAAUCUUUUCUAAAAUAAGUUAAUGAAUCAUAGGAGUUCAUUGUUGCAUUCAUGCUGGUGCAUUGAUUUUUGUUUGUUUGAAUUCAAAUUUGUAUUUCAAUUCAUUUGUUUGAAUCCCUUUUAAAUAAUAGGAAAACCUUUCUUUUUCUUUCUCUUUUCUCCUUCUCCUUUCGACCCGCUCUUUCUUUUGGCCCAGUUUUGCAGCAGCGCAGCGGCCUAGCAGCCGGCCCAUCCUCCGUACCAGCCCACUCCGUGGCCAGCUCUUCGCCUCACAUGAUGAUAGGCGGGGCCCGCCUGUCAUCCACCACCUCCAGCCACCCGCGCCCGAGUCGAACUCGAGUCCGAGCCGGACCGCGCCG
rnacentral:lncRNA from 1 species